rnacentral:tRNA from 1 species
GUUUUCGUGGUGUAAUAGUCAGCACACUCGACGCGUAAUCGAGAAGUCUGAGGUUCGAGUCCCGGCGAGGGCA